rnacentral:rRNA from 1 species
GACUCCUACGGGAGGCAGCAGUGGGGAAUAUUGGAUAAUGGGCGCAAGCCUGAUCCAGUAAUGCCGCGUGAGUGAUGAAGGCCUUCGGGUCGUAAAGCUCUUUUACCAGGGAUGAUAAUGACAGUACCUGGAGAAUAAGCCCCNGCUAACUCCGUNCCAGCAGCCGCGGUAAUA